UUGGUGACUUGUAUGAAGGAUUGGAUGAGAUAUAAUCUGUCUCUUAAUUAUAAAGUAGAAUUUAAUUUUUUAAUUAAAAAGUUAAAAUAUAUUAAAAAGACGAGAAGACCCUAUAGAGUUUUAUAGAUUAAGAUAAUUAAGAUUAUUUAUAAAAUAAAAAUUGAAAUUAUUUUAUUUAUUGUGUUGGGGUGACAGAAAAAUAUAAAAAACUUUUUAUAUAGAAAAACAUUGAUAAAUGAUUAAAUGAUCCAAUAUUAUUGAUUAUAAGAAAAAAUUACCUUAGGGAUAACAGCGUAAUUUUUUUUUUUAGUUCACAUAAAAAAAAGAGUUUGCGACCUCGAUGUUGGAUUAAGAUAAAAUUUAAAUGUAGAAG
rnacentral:rRNA from 1 species